rnacentral:rRNA from 1 species
AGUGAACGCUGGCGGUAGGCCUAACACAUGCAAGUCGAACGGCAGCACAGUAAGAGCUUGCUCUUACGGGUGGCGAGUGGCGGACGGGUGAGGAAUACAUCGGAAUCUACUUUUUCGUGGGGGAUAACGUAGGGAAACUUACGCUAAUACCGCAUACGACCUACGGGUGAAAGCAGGGGAUCUUCGGACCUUGCGCGAUUGUAUGAGCCGAUGUCGGAUUAGCUAGUUGGCGGGGUAAAGGCCCACCAAGGCGACGAUCCGUAGCUGGUCUGAGAGGAUGAUAGGCCACACUGGACCUGAGACACGGCCCAGCCUCCUACGGGAGGCAGCAGUGGGAAAUAUUGGACAAUGGGCGAAAGCCUGAUCCAGCCAUACCGCGUGGGUGAAGAAGGCCUUCGGGUGGUAAAGCCCUUUUGUUGGGAAAGAAAAGCAGCAGGUUAAUACCCCGCUGUUCUGACGGUACCAAAAGAAUAAGCACCGGCUAACUUCGU